GAUGGACGCUGGCGGCAGGCCUAACACAUGCAAGUCGAGCGGAUGAGAGGAGCUUGCUCUUUGAUUCAGCGGCGGACGGGUGAGUAAUGCCUAGGAAUCUGCCUGGUAGUGGGGGACAACGUUUCGAAAGGAACACUAAUACCGCAUACGUCCUACGGGAGAAAGUGGGGGAUCUUCGGACCUCACGCUAUCAGAUGAGCCCAGGUCGGAUUAGCUAGUUGGUGAGGUAAUGGCUCACCAAGGCGACGAUCCGUAACUGGUCUGAGAGGAUGAUCAGUCACACUGGAACUGAGACACGGUCCAGACUCCUACGGGAGGCAGCAGUGGGGAAUAUUGGACAAUGGGCGCAAGCCUGAUCCAGCCAUGCCGCGUGUGUGAAGAAGGUCUUCGGAUUGUAAAGCACUUUAAGUUGGGAGGAAGGUCAGUAGCUUAAUACGUUGCUGAUUUGACGUUACCGACAGAAUAAGCACCGGCUAACUCUGUGCCAGCAGCCGCCGUAAAAC
rnacentral:rRNA from 1 species